rnacentral:lncRNA from 1 species
AAGAUCUCAUCGGUUGAACCACUAUGUCGAGGAUUCAAUUAAUCCAGUAUCCAAUUCUCUUUGUCUCGCGAUAUAUUACUUGCCCGAGAUUUGAUCGUCGGUAUCGCCAUACCUAGUUUAAUCUCGUUACCGGCAAGUUCUCUUUACUCGUUCCGUAAUAUAAUACCCCCGCGACUAAACACAUUAGUCGCAUGCUUGCAAGCUCAUUAGGAUGUUAUAUUACCGAGAGGGCCCAGAGAUAUCUCUCCGUCACAAGGAGUGACAAAUCCCAGUCUUGAUCCAUACAACCCAACAAGCACCUUCUGGGAUACCUGAAAAACACCUUUAUGAUCACCCAGUUACGAGAUGACGGUUGAUGCCCACAAAGUAUUCUUCCGGUACUAGGGAGUGGCAUGAUCUCAUGGUCUAAAUAAAUAAUACUUGACAUAAUAAAACAUAAGCAACUUAAACUUAAGUGACACGAUCAAAAGCUAUGUUUAGGUUUGGGUCUGUCCAUCACAUCAUUCUCCUACUGAUAUGAUCUCGUUAUUAAAUGACAACACAUGUCUAUGGUUAGGAAAUCUUAACCAUCUUUAAUCAACGAGCUAAUCUAGUAGAGGCGUAUUAGGGACACGGUAUUUGUUUAUUUAUCCACACAUGUAUUUGAGUUUCCAAUCAAUACAAUUAUAGCAUGGGCAAUAAACAUUUAUCAAGAACAAUGAAAUAUGAUAAUAACAAAUUUAUUAUUGUCUCUAGGGCAUAUUUCCAACACACCCCCCCCCCCCCCCGGCGGCCCUCCGCUCCGUGGCGAGGCGUGGCGGCACGAGCAGAUCCCACCCCGGCGGGCGGCGGCAGCCCUCUGCUCUGUGCCGCGGCCUGGUUCCCGCCCUCGCAAAAAAAAUUCCCUCGCUCCGUGACCUCCGUCCCUCGCCCCGCGUUCUCUAUUUCUCUGCCGAAGUCAAGCGGUCGUGGGUUUGUUUUUGCCUGACCGCUGGAUCUAAAUUGGACGUCAGAUCACAGGGAUAGAGGCGCUUGGGACGUACACGAGUAACUUCACCGAAGCAGGCAGUGAAAUACUGAAAUUAGAGAAGGAUCUCGAUAGAGUGCGUACCAGUGCCUACACGCAUGCCCACACAAGUACUCUUACAACCCUGCAGUCGCUGCCGUGUAACGAUCAGGGAGACAGUGAUGUACGGCGUACCACAACAUAAUUCGUUUAAUUAAUACGUACGUCUGACCGGCCGGACCACAAGCUCGUGGUGACUUGUCAACUGGAGUAUAUCGUCGAUCUAAACUCUAAAGUGUCUCGAUCAGUACCUGCGUUAUUUUCUCAGUCCCGGGUUACAGUAAUCUUGCAUGCAUUUGCGCGCCACAAGGAUGCCUGCGAUCGAGCUCUAAAUGCAUUGAUAUGGUAUAUGUGGAAUGGACCGCAUGGAAAACCCGUACCAGCCAAGCCACCAGCUGAGCUACAGCUUGUUUUUCAGUUGAGACAAAUUAACGCGAUCGCAGGCGGCAUGAUCAGCGCUUAAACUCGAAUUUGGAUACAGUCCAGCCAAGCCGUCCGUAGGUUUAUCUCAUUUGGGAUGCGGAAGCUUAAGUGAUGUGCAGUACGUACGAUACCUCCACACACACACACAAAAAAAAAAACAGACGUGUUGGACCGAUUGAUCAUCCAUGUCCACAGAAACAACAAAGAUCCAGCGGCAGUGCAUGCGUACGUUCGCACCAAGUAUCUCAGUACGUGCAAUCGUGCACGCAUGCACUAGUAGUAUUAUAUUCGAUCUCCUGCCCGGUAAUCAAAGAGUACGUACAGAUGUACGGUAAUCGAACUCUUUAAUGCCUGCGAGCACACACCGAUAUAGUAGAAAAUAGUAUCUUGCUAUAUACUCGAUCUUGCACACACCGUUUGAGUACAGUGUGGAUCGGAAUGGACCGUACAAGAAGCCACCAGCUUGUUUCUUUCUUUUUUUUUGAAGGAACACCAGCUUGUUUCUGAUUUGGGAAGAACGCGUGUGAUCAACACUGGAAUUUAAAAAGAUUCCAGUCUGUAGGUAAACAAACGGAGGGCUCAUAGCCCCUUAAUUUGUUCCUUAAAUUAAAACUUUUGACUAAGCCUUUGAACCAUAAUUAGUCUAUUAAAAUAUAAUUUUUUGAAAUAAAAUUGAUGCUAUUGUAUUCAUAUUUAAGAGUACUUGUUCAUAGUUAUGAUUUGUAUCUUAUAAGUCACACGUCGAUGGAGUAAUACUUGAUCAAACAUUCGGUCAAAGAAAACAAUAUACGUCUUAAUUUAAGGAACGGAGAUCUUAGCCGAAGAGUUUUAAGUCAAACAGCAGCUUGAAUUAUGACGGUCCCAAACGUGUUCUAGCUCAGGGAAAAUGAGAGAGAGGACCAGCCUGUUUUGAGUGGCAGGACUGAGCUAAAAGAUGGGGAAUAAAAGAUCAUUAUCUCUAACACUGUGUUUGGAUGUAUAAGGCCUGAUAUUAGACAUUGGUAUUGGACAAGUACCGAGUACUAUGAUUUGGGUUGUUUGGCUGGUCCAAGUAUUCGAUCCACACAUGGCACAAUUCCGAUGGGUAAGCCUCGACAUCCCUGGGUAUUCGGAACUUUCGGAACUGCUCGACAACACCCGCGUUCAACCCUCGCUCGAAGCAAUUUUCCCUUUUUCCCUGCCUUUUCCGUCCCUCUUCUAGCUCCCGCGCGAGGUUCAAGGCUUCCAGCGGCUGCGGCCCGAGCAGGCAGCAGCAGGGCCCUUCCUCCCUCCUCCUCCUCCUACGGCACCGGCGGUCUUCUCCCGCGACGCCGCAGCCCCGCACCAGACCACCUUGCCCUCCCUUCCCAUCUCUCUCCUCCGCGACCGCCCGUCCCCGCCGCCGCGCCCUCCUCGUCGGCUCGUCGCUCCCGAAGAAGAAGAGGACCGUGCGUACUGCGUAGGUACGGUGGUGCCGCACCAUCUGGAGCGGCGUGCGGCCUAAGGAGCAGCUCCGCCUUCCUCCGACUGGGCACGGCGCCGGCGGCCUCCCGCCCCUCCCUUCCGGCGUUCACCCUCUCAUCUCCCUUCUCUCUGCAGGUUUGCGGGCCAUCUCGACCAAGCUCCUGCCUCCGGCGCAGGUCCUGUUGGAGAUAUGCCCUAGAGGCAACCAUGUGAUGAUGUUAUUUCCUAUGUAUUCAUGAGUUAUUUGUCCUUGAACAUCAUCACUGAUAUGUAUCAAUAAAUACGUGAUUUGUUUGUGAAACUAUGUAUUCUAUGAUGUUGUUCUAAUGGUCCCUGGUCAUUGAGGUUAUGCGGACACAUAACCUAGACUAGCAAUGUGAAUCAGUGUGAUGACUAUGUUUCACAAGUCAUAGCGCAAGGUGUUGCCGACUGAUAGCAUGGACUCGACAAUGAGAUUGUUGAGUCGGACAGACCCGCACUGAGACACAACGAGAUGAUUGUCAUUUGUUAGUCUCAAGUACGAUGUAUAUGCCAGUCCUAGACCUGAGGUCAUCGUAUGAGCUUGGGAUGUGAAUCGGCCUACUUAGGGGUUGCCAAACGCUACUCCGUAACUGGGUGGUUAUAAAGGUAGCUUUCGGGUUCGCUGAGAAGCAUGCUGCGAGUCAUGGUUGAUCAAGAUAGGAUUUGCCCCUCCUGUUCGGAGAGAUAUCUCUGGGCCCUCUCGAGUGAUCAGAUUCGGAAAGCAUGGCCAUGCGACUUGGGUUAAGUGUUAACCCGUUCGGGAAUCUGUAUCACAGGAACGAGAAGAGACUCGAGCUAUCCACAAGGAUGACACGCACUCGCCUUGAGCUCGACACACAUAUCGCGAGGCAAAAGGAAUGUUGCAUAUGACACAUUGUAUGGUUCGUCAAUAUACCUUGUGGUUACUCGGGAGUUGGCACGUGCUGCUAGGCGCCGCUACCAACUAUCGACUUGAGUCGGUGCCAGUGGACGAGCAAGGUGUUACUCGGGCCCGCAGUCCGAGCUCGUAGUCAUGGCCGACUGACCGCGAACCUGAAGGGUCACACGCUUAAGGGGUGGGAACCGAGUUGGAUCGAUCCAACUCGUAUCGGGCUUGGACUCCUAAUGGGCCUCAAGUGUUGAGCCCACUAGGGACGUCUAUAUAAGUGGAGGAGACCAACCCGUCUAGGGUUAACUCCAGUUCAGACGCGAGUUAGACUCGGCCGUCGCACCUCCACGCCCAAAGCCUUGCGAUCGGAUCUAGCAGUCCGCCGCACGGAGUUCCUCCCUGUACGUGUGGAUACCUCGGAGGCGCUGCACCUGCGGCGCUUGGACGAACUGUUCGUGGGAUCGGCGAGGAGGAGCAGGCUGUUCGACUACUCGGCAUCGACGCGCUACAUCGACUCUACUUCCGCUACAGGUCUGCGCGUCUAGUGGUAAUCUCGUGAUCCAUUAUCUACAGCAUUGAUCCGGGCGGAAGCGGUAGAAAAUUUUAUUUUGUGCUAGCGUAGCAUACCGCGUUCCCCAACAGUGGUAUCAGAGCCGAUGCUGUCUGUUUUGGAUUCGAAUUGCGUGCAUAAGUGUUAUGCGGUUAGUAGUAGAUGUGAUCUAUUGCUAUCUUGGUGGUCGAUCUAAGUGUUAGAUCGGUUUUGUACUCAAUCGAUUGGAUCGAUUGUACUCGGGGAUCAUGGAUAUUCGAUUCUGAUAAUCGUGAUGUAGAAGGUCGUGACACAACAUACUCCUACCGGUCGGAUUUCCGCCAUCGGAGUAGACAGUGAAACAUAAAUCCGGAUACAAUUCAUGAGAUCAAUGCGAUUGAUCGAAUCGGAAUAGAAAUCCAUGAAGGAAAUUUCGGAUUGGAUCGGGGGACCGCCGUGCUAUCUAUUCGUAGCGCCUUAGUUGUCGUUGCGAGUUCACAUCAAUUCGGUAGAAUAGGUUUGUACGCUUAACUUGUUUUUGCAGGAUUGAUGUGAAUAGUAUGGCUCAUAUGUAUGUGAUACAUGUGUGUAAUAUUUGCAUGACCUGCGUGUCAUGAGUUUGUCAGCCAGGCUGGAGCCAAGGUGCUGUCUUUAUAAUUGUAUAACGACCUGCGUGUCGACAUUUGAUGUCAUUCUCCAUGUAAAUUCUUUGCUAGAUACUAGGUGUAGUCAUUUAGUAUGAAUUGGAGGACGUGAGCACCAUGGCGGCUUGAUGAACAGGUUCAUGGAGAUGGAGAUCACCAUGAAGAACAGAGCCAUACUAUUUCACAUGUUAAUUUGAUUAUCUGUGAUGGUUAUUGCUUUGUUUACUCCUAUGCAUGUUAUUGUGUUAGAGUAGAAUGAUCCCUCAAAGAAUGUCAAGUUUAUUUACCUCCCCAAUAGCUGCAACACCACAAGACAAGUACAUUUGGUGAUGGGCUCAUGAAAUUGGGGUAUCACCAUUUUUCCUUGUCGUUGGUGAUGUUCGUGUCGGACACUUACAUGCGAAGCUUUGGUUAACUUGACGGGGCUAUCAAAACGGUUUUGGGCCUCGAGGUGAAAGGAGUCGGAGCCGGGGCAAGUGUUGCCUACCGACUAACAAGAGUCGUAUAGAGAUACGAUUGGCAAGAGUUGCCUACCGAGUGAUUCAAUCGGCUAGCAGUGAUGCUAAAGCUCACUAGACGAUUGGUUGAUCUUGGAUCUUGAAUCACUAAUGAUCAAUGGAGGGAUGUUGAUUUUAGUGGGAGUAUAUUUCUAUUAAAUUGUUUAAUAUGAAUUACUCUUCAUGAAUACUUGUCUUAGUGUUUUUGCAUUUUCUGUUGUAGAUCAAUGGCACCACCUCAAUUGUCCAGUUUUGCUUUGAGAUCUGUUCUUGAGAAAGAUAAACUAAAUGGAACUAACUUCACCAACUGGUAUCGGAACCUGAGAAUCGUUCUCAGGCACGAUAAGAAAGAAAGAAAGAACAUGUCAUAGAGAACCCACUUCCAGAGGAGCCGGCUGAUAAUGCCACUGCUGCUGUUAGAAACGCCUAUCAACGCUCAUGUGAUGAGUCGAUUGAGAUCAGCUGUCUGAUGCUUGCCUAUAUGGAGCCCGAACUGCAGCAGCAGUUUGAGAAUGUUGAGGCUUUCGAUAUGAUCGAGACUCUCAAAGGCAUGUUUCAGACUCAGGCUAGGACCGAAAGAUUUAAUGUCUAAAGGUCCUUCCUGGAGACUAAGCUGAAAGAAGGCGAACCCUUGAGCCCACAUGUAAUCAAGUUGGUUGGUUACACGCAAAGCUUGGAGAAGCUGGGCUUUCCGCUGAGCCAAGAGUUGGCCACGGAUACAAUUCUGGCAUCUCUUCCGCCAAGCUAUGCGCAGUUCGUUCAGAACUACCAUAUGCAUGGCAUGGAAAAGAAAGUCACUGAAUUGCAUGGGAUGCUUAAAACAGCAGAGGAGGAUAUCAAGAAAAAUACCAAGCAAGUGUUGCUGGUACAGGGAAAGCCAAAGUUCAAGAAAAAUUCUUGGGCUAAGAAGAAGGCAAAGAAGGGAAAGGCUAAGGAUGUGAUCCCGACCCCUGCCCCUGCUGCGCCUAAGGCUGGACCGGACUCAGAGACCGUAUGCUUUUUCUGCAAAGGCACCGGUCAUUGGAAGAGGAACUGCAGCAAGUACCAGGCCCACGUGGCAAAGAAGGGUGGAAGUGUGACUUCUACUUCAGGUACGGUUGUUGUAUAUGUUAUAGACAUUUAUCUUGCUGAUGCACCUAACAGCUCUUGGGUAUUGGAUACCGGAUCGGUUGUUCACAUUUGCAACUCGAUGCAGGGGCUGGCAAGGACUAGGAGCGUCGCAAGUGGAGAGGUUGACAUAAGGGUUGGCAAUAAAGCAAGAGUUGCAGCGUUGCCCGCCGGGACUAUGCAACUUCAUUUACCUUCUGGAUUUGUUAUGGAAUUAGAUAAUUGUUAUUAUGUUCCUGCUUUAAGUCGAAACAUUAUAUCUGUCUCAAAGUUGUUGAGUCACGGUUAUGAAUUCAAUAUUAAGGGCAAUGGUUGUUCUUUUUAUUUGAAGGAUAUGUUUUACGGCUUUGCACCUGUUGCGAACGGGUUAUUCAUCCUUAGUCUUGAAGGAGAAUCUGUCUAUAACAUUAAUGUCAAGAGGCGCAAGCCUAACGAUCUGAAUCAAACCUAUUUUUGGCAUUGUCGUUUGGGUCACAUAAGUGACAAACGCAUGAAGAAGCUCCAUGGAGAUGGACUUUUAACAUCGUUUGAUUAUGAAUCAUUCGAGACAUGCGAGUCUUGUCUACUAGGCAAGAUGACCAAAUCGCCUUUUGCAAAGAGUUGCGAGAGGGCGACCGACUUGUUGGAACUCAUACAUACUGAUGUGUGUGGACCAAUGAGCACGACAGCUAGAGGAGGUUAUCAAUACUUCAUAACAUUCACUGAUGAUUUGAGUAGAUAUGGAUAUGUCUACUUAAUGAAACAUAAGUCGGAAACCUUUGAAAAGUUCAAGGAGUUCCAGAAUGAAGUAGAGAACCAACGUGGCAAGAAAAUAAAACUUCUACGAUCUGAUCGUGGAGGCGAGUACUUGAGUCACGAGUUCGACGAUCAUCUGAAGAGUUGUGGAAUUGUUCCACAGCUCACACCGCCGGGUACACCACAAAGAAAUGGUGUGUCGGAAAGGCGGAACCGGACCUUGUUGGACAUGGUUCGGUCGAUGAUGAGUCAGUCAGAUCUUCCCUUGUCAUUUUGGGGUUAUGCUCUAGAAACCGCAGCGUUCACACUAAACAGAGUACCAUCCAAGUCCGUAGAUAAGACACCAUAUGAGAUAUGGACUGGAAAGCGUCCCAGUUUGUCUUUUCUAAAGAUUUGGGGCUGUGAUGCAUUUGUCAAACGACUUCAGUCGGACAAGCUCACUCCCAAAUCAGACAAGUGCAUAUUCGUGGGAUAUCCAAGGGAAACCUUAGGAUAUUACUUCUACAACCGGGCAGAGGGCAAAGUGUUUGUCGCUCGAAACGGUGUCUUCCUUGAGAAAGAGUUUCUCAGUCGGGAGGCAAGUGGGAGGUCAGUGCAACUCGAAGAAGUUCGAGAUGAGCCAGUAGGGGAUAACUUGACAGGUGAUGUCAGUGUGACUGAGCCAGUCGUCGUACCCACGGCCAAUACAGCACCGUAUCCACGAAGGUCGGAAAGACUAUGUAAUAUACGCAAUGUGUUGUUGCUAGACAAUGACGAGCCGACUAAUUAUGCAGAAGCGAUGGUGGGUCCAGAGUCCGAGUUAUGGCUUGAGGCCAUGAGAUCCGAAUUAAAGUCCAUGGAUGAAAACCGAGUUUGGAACUUGGUAGAUCCGCCAGAGGGUGUAAAAACCAUUGAGUGCAAAUGGAUAUUUAAAAGAAAAACUGAUAUGGAUGGAAAUGUUCAAAUCCAUAAAGCUCGACUUGUCGCAAAGGGUUUUCGACAAGUUCAAGGAGUUGACUACGACGAGACUUUCUCGCCGGUAGCGAUGCUUAAAUCAGUUCGGAUCAUUCUAGCUAUUGCUGCAUAUUUCGAUUACGAGAUAUGGCAAAUGGAUGUCAAAACGGCUUUCCUUAACGGAAAUUUAACCGAGGACGUGUAUAUGAUACAGCCCGAGGGUUUUGUCGAUCCAAAGAAUGCUGGAAAAAUAUGCAAACUUCAGAAAUCCAUCUAUGGAUUGAAGCAAGCAUCUCGGAGCUGGAACAUUCGUUUUGAUGAAGUAGUCAAAGGGUUUGGCUUCAUCAAAAAUGAAGAAGAACCUUGUGUAUACAAGAAGUUUAGUGCAAACUCAGUCGUAUUUCUAAUCUUAUAUGUGGAUGACAUAUUAUUGAUUGGAAAUGACAUUCCGAUGCUAGAAGCCGCCAAGGACUCAUUGAAGAAAAGUUUUUCAAUGAAGGACUUGGGAGAAGCGGCUUAUAUUUUGGGAAUCAGGAUCUAUAGAGAUAGAUCAAGGAGGCUUAUUGGUUUAAGCCAGAGUACAUAUGUUGACAAAGUGUUGAAGAGGUUCAACAUGAAUGACGCAAAGAAAGGGUUCUUGCCCAUGUCGCAUGGUAUAAGUCUAAGCAAGACUCAGAGUCCUUCGACUUCUGAUGAGCGAAGUCGGAUGAGUGCGAUUCCGUAUGCUUCGGCGGUCGGAUCCAUCAUGUACGCCAUGUUAUGUACUCGACCGGAUGUUUCCUAUGCUCUAAGUGUUACGAGCAGGUAUCAGGCUGACCCCGGUGAGAGUCACUGGACAGCGGUGAAGAAUAUCCUUAAGUACUUGAGAAGGACUAAGGAUAUGUUUUUGGUUUACGGUGGUGAGGAUGAGCUCGUUGUAAAGGGUUACACCGAUGCUAGUUUCCAAACCGACAAGGACGAUUAUCGAUCACAAUCUGGAUACGUGUUCGUCUUGAACGGAGGUGCGGUGAGCUGGAAGAGCUCUAAGCAAGAAACGGUGGCCGACUCUACAACAGAAGCUGAGUAUAUCGCGGCUUCGGAAGCCGCGAAAGAAGGCGUUUGGAUCAGAAAGUUUGUUUCUGAGCUUGGAGUGGUUCAGGGCGCGUCCAAUCCCAUGGACCUCUACUGUGACAACAGUGGUGCUAUCGCACAAGCCAAAGAACCACGACAUCACCAAAAAUCCAAACACAUACUCAGGCGUUACCAUCUCAUACGGGAAUUCGUGGAGAGAGGUGACGUUAAGAUAUGCAAGGUACACACGGAUCUCAAUAUUGCCGAUCCGUUGACAAAGCCUCUCCCGCAACCAAAGCAUGAGGCGCACACACGAGCCAUGGAUAUGCGAUACUUGGAUGAUCGACUCUAGUGCAAGUGGGAGACUGUUGGAGAUAUGCCCUAGAGGCAAUCAUGUGAUGAUGUUAUUUCCUAUGUAUUCAUGAGUUAUUUGUCCUUGAACAUCAUCACUGAUAUGUAUCAAUAAAUACGUGAUUUGUUUGUGAAACUAUGUAUUCUAUGAUGUUGUUCUAAUGGUCCCUGGUCAUUGAGGUUAUGCGGACACAUAACCUAGACUAGCAAUGUGAAUCAGUGUGAUGACUAUGUUUCACAAGUCAUAGCGCAAGGUGUUGCCGACUGAUAGCAUGGACUCGACAAUGAGAUUGUUGAGUCGGACAGACCCGCACUGAGACACAACGAGAUGAUUGUCAUUUGUUAGUCUCAAGUACGAUGUAUAUGCCAGUCCUAGACCUGAGGUCAUCGUAUGAGCUUGGGAUGUGAAUCGGCCUACUUAGGGGUUGCCAAACGCUACUCCGUAACUGGGUGGUUAUAAAGGUAGCUUUCGGGUUUGCUGAGAAGCAUGCUGCGAGUCAUGGUUGAUCAAGAUGGGAUUUGCCCCUCCUGUUCGGAGAGAUAUCUCUGGGCCCUCUCGAGUGAUCAGAUUCGGAAAGCAUGGCCAUGCGACUUGGGUUAAGUGUUAACCCGUUCGGGAAUCUGUAUCACAGGAACGAGAAGAGACUCGAGCUAUCCACAAGGAUGACACGCACUCGCCUUGAGCUCGACACACAUAUCGCGAGGCAAAAGGAAUGUUGCAUAUGACACAUUGUAUGGUUCGUCAAUAUACCUUGUGGUUACUCGGGAGUUGGCACGUGCUGCUAGGCGCCGCUACCAACUAUCGACUUGAGUCGGUGCCAGUGGACGAGCAAGGUGUUACUCGGGCCCGCAGUCCGAGCUCGUAGUCGUGGCCGACUGACCGCGAACCUGAAGGGUCACACGCUUAAGGGGUGGGAACCGAGUUGGAUCGGAUCCAACUCGUAUCGGGCUUGGACUCCUAAUGGGCCUCAAGUGUUGAGCCCACUAGGGACGUCUAUAUAAGUGGAGGAGACCAACCCGUCUAGGGUUAACUCCAGUUCAGACGCGAGUUAGACUCGGCCGUCGCACCUCCACGCCCAAAGCCUUGCGAUCGGAUCUAGCAGUCCGCCGCACGGAGUUCCUCCCUGUACGUGUGGAUACCUCGGAGGCGCUGCACCUGCGGCGCUUGGACGAACUGUUCGUGGGAUCGGCGAGGAGGAGCAGGCUGUUCGACUACUCGGCAUCGACGCGCUACAUCGACUCUACUUCCGCUACGGGUCUGCGCGUCUAGUGGUAAUCUCGUGAUCCAUUAUCUACAGCAUUGAUCCGGGCGGAAGCGGUAGAAAAUUUUAUUUUGUGCUAGCGUAGCAUACCGCGUUCCCGAACAGGUCCAACAUCGUGUGCUGAGCAAGCAAAUUUGGAUUCCGGCCACGAUGAUUAAUUCUUCUCAUCUCACUGUUAGUCUGUUCUUCUGUCUUCUCUCUGACCUGACCACCCUCUAUCUCUCUUUUCUACCUACAAUGUUGUGGCUACAAUGUCAAGAUUACGGCGUUGUGUAUAUUUUCCAAUGUAUUUUUCAUUUUUUAUUGUCAUGUGAUAUAUAUAGUUAUUCAAAUAUAUUUCAAAUGUUAUAUGGAUUUUGAAAUAUGCAUAAAAACAGUAUAUCAAUCAUACUCGGACAACUGCAAUUGAUCGCUUUGACCAUCCAAACAAGAUUUGUCAUUCAAUCUUAAUAUCAAGUUUGGGUUCCGAAUACCGAAUAUCCAAACAAAAGUAUUGGCAUUCAAUGUCAAUAUCAAUAUCCUGUGAUGUUGACAUUGGAGCAAAUGCACAAUGUCAAGCCUCUCAAUAUCUACAUCUAAACAAAGCUAAGAUCUCGAGGAGACGAUGACGAUGAUGAGAUAAGGUGUGCGGUGAUGAUCCAUGCGUCUAGGAGCUAGCAGCUACGUCCUUGCAGAUAUCACAACCAAAUGUUGACCGGAUCCCAAGAUAUUUGCCCAUAUCUUGCGCAAAUGAUAGAAAAACCAAAUGCAAGCGUCGGUCCGUACCGGAUAAUAAAUAAUUUUGUCCGGCACAUCACUUUUAUCAGUUUUAUUUCAACAUAGGGAGUUGCCUCUGUUUAAGCUGAACUUCGGGUCAUUUCUCACGCCGAGAAGGAGAAUGCAGUCCAGAUUCAGUAGUACAAAUCCAUUUGUCUGCUUAAUGUUAGGUUAAAAAAAAUUCAAGAAAGUAAAUACGAAUCGCAUCAUCGGGAUAGCUCAAGCAGUGAUUCGGUCUACUCAAACGGCCUAUAUGCCUGACCGUCAUGUUCUAGACGGGUGGUUGUCCUUCACGAGACUAUUGAAUAAACUUCACUUGAAGAAAAGAGUGAAUUCCAUUUUUUUACCCCCUCUUUGAAACUUUUUGACACAAUCUACCCCAUUUAAGGGAAUUUCCAAAAUUGUACCCCAUUUAACCAAACCUUUGCCACCAAUUACCCUUUUAAUAUUUUCCCCCAAAUCUGACGUUUUCUGACGAGCGGGGCCCACUUUUCAGGCCUACGUGGCGUGCCACGCUGGCCUUCGGGGCCAAACCAGCCCGGUUCAGUUCGUGCGGUUCUGUCCGGUUGGGGUCUGACAUGGGCUUCAGUGGGUUCUGCCCGGUUCUUUCUUUCUCUGUAUCUCGCUCAUAACUCUUUCUCCCUCAUCUCUGUCUGUCUCCCACGGGUUAGGGUUUAGGCUGCGGCGACGGCGGCGGCGACGGAAGCAACCGCGACCUGUCGGCGGAGAAAGCGGCCACCACGGGUGCUAAGCCGGGUUCGACUCGGUGUUUCUCCGGGCCUGCGCUCAGAUGGCGUCGCCGGCGAAACGGAAGGCAGUGGGAGUGGCGAUUCCGAAGCUCCCCGUAUAUUCCGGGAAUUGCGAUUCUUCGUGGAAGGUAUGUUCAUCCGCCUCGUUUCCUUUCCGUUUCCAUCUCCUUAACGUCUUUCAUCUGUGAUUUCAUUGGUGAUUUGGGGAUAUAUUGUGGUCACAAAGAUAGGACUGAUGCGUAUCAUUGGAUUUUGGGGUUUCUCAAAAUUUAUUCCUGCUGGUGCAGCGUUUAAUUUGUGGUGUGGUUAAUGUACUUUUCAUAUCAGGAAAUUGUGGGCUCAAGCAAGUUCUCCCUUGUCAGUGGGUGCCGCUGGAAGGAACAGAGGAGAAGAUGGAUGCAAUCGACAGGAACUGCUCACGUUGGGCACUUUUGGAUGCAAUCCUGGAAGCAUUUUGUGAUGAAAAUGUAUGAAAUGUAUGCACUGUUGUACAUGGGCUGAUAUGUUGUACCAAAUUUUGCCUCAAAUGCAAUGAAAAUAUACGGGCUGAUAUAUAUGGUGAAGUGAAUUUUGUAUGGUUGCCAGAAAACCGAACCGGCACCUGACCUGAACCGGGCCGGUUCGGCCCCGAAGGUCAGCGUGGCACGCCACGUAGGACUGAAAAGUGGGCCCCGCUCGUCAGGAAACGUCAGAUUUGGCGGAAAAUAUUAAAAGGGGUAAUUAGUGGCAAAGGUUUGGUUAAAUGGGAUAUAAUUUUGGAAAUUCUCUUAAAUGGGAUAGAUUGUGUCAAAAAGUUUCAUAGAGCGGGUAAAAAAUGAAAUUCACUCUGAAGAAAAUGGAUGGCACUUUCUCACUAAAACUAGCAAUGAGGAAGAAGCAGGUCUAGCUCAAGGCUCCAGCUAGCUCAAGCCUCUUUGAUUUACAAGAUUGGAAAAAUCGGAGGAAUAGAAGGAAAAAAAUGUAGAAAUGCAAUGUGAUGUUUCACUACCAGGGUCACAGAGCUUAGUGAUGGUGAUUUAUUUUUGUGUCGGGCACCAGAAUGACUGUCAUGAAAAUAAUAAUUGUGACAGGCUACUACUGACACCAAAUUAUUAAUUUUUGUGGCGGGCCUUGACACUACCGACAGAAAAUAAAAUAUAUUGUGGCAGUUGGAAUCCGACACAUUUUCAUGCCGGUUCACCAUUACACAAAACACACAUUUGUGACGGUUAUGAUGUACCCAUCACAAAAAUAACAACGUCCCAAAUAUUGUUUUUAUCACUUUUGUGAACCAAAUACCAUAAGUCUGCUCUACUCUCAAAAUAUCUGAACAUUCAUAGGACUAUAUUUUGUAGACACGAAUUAUAUUUCUGUCGGCUUUUGGUUAUUUCUGAAGGUUUAGCACCGUCACUGUACUCUGUGAUCCUGUUAGUUUGAUUGCCUGAAAUUUUGUUCGAAUAUUGUAGGGAAAGCAAAGGAUUUCUCCCAAGAAAUGUAGUACUCCCUCAACGACAAGAAUUUGGGAUAGGAGGAAGUUCUUAGGAAAAUUUAGUAUAGGAUAUAAUCCUACGAAUCAAAGGACUCAUGUAGGAAAAAUUCCUAAUGAUUCUAUAUCAAAGCGUGCGUCGAUUUUGUGUUUGUUAGUCUCUGACCUAUAUAUGUCGGCUGACGGCAAGGACCCAGCGUCCGACCGAGCCGCGCGGGCAAGAGCCAUCUUGUGUACACUCCAGGUGAGCAGUCGUGCAUCUCAAAAGAAAAGAGACCCGGGACAGUUGUGUUGCCCCGGGUUUGCACUGUUGUACACGGCCGGGUCGUACUUUUUAGAAUGUCUCCGUGUGCAUAUCGAGCGUUUUACUUUCUUUUUUUUAGAAUCUCCUGUAACUUUAUUCAAACUCAAAACAUUACGGGUACAGUGCUUCGGAUCAUGGACAAAAGAAACUACAAAGUAACCCCUAUGAGUAAGAAUUACAAUGAAAUCUUUUGAAAACAUAUUCUCCGUAGCAUCAAUUUUUGCAACACGAAAUACUCUUCAUACUUUAGCAAAAGAACUGCAAUUAGACUGGAGUGGCAACAUCGCCACUCGUAACCCUGCACGAAUUUGAUUAUCUUUAAAGGUUUCAGAAAGCCCCUUGAGUCGUCCAUCUAAAAAGAUGAGAAGCCGUGAGCAUUGAACAUACUUGGGCCGGGGUUGAUCCCACAUGAUCUUCACGAAAACGCCAGAGAAAGACUCCAAAGUCACCAAAGUAUCAUGACACACUGACAAAAACUCAUCAAAUCCGUAUGAACAGCUCUGCGAGGACAUAAACUCAAAAUCCGCGUGAUCGGACACAUCGAAUCCGCGGUGAGUAAAACUUUUUGGCCCCGUGGCACUGCGCAAUAAGGCACCGCCGCAGCAGAGGAAAAACCAGAAUACCUUUAUUCUCGACGGCAUCGCACCCUCCGUCGUAACGUUGCCGAUGAAGAUCACAAGACUCGUAAUAGUAAAAACUUCUAAAAACACCCGGUAAUACCCGAGAUUCCCCCCACCUCGCAGCGCCAAGAUGGCGACAGGAGGUGAGGGGAACCGGUGAAUCCGGACGGUGCUCUACCUCAAAACUCUAAGUUUUCUCCCUCUCCUUCUCCCUGGCGGCGAUAGCGUACCUAACGUUUUACUCCCUCUGAUUCUAAAUUCUUGACUCAACUUUGCCAAAAUAUAAAUGUAUUUAUUAUUAAAAAGCGUCUAGAUACAUGUAAUAUUUCGACAACAAUUUAGGAUCGGAGGGAGUACUUUUUUUCCUUCCUUUCUUUGCCUCCGUGGGCUUCUUUUCUGUUUUUCUUUUUGGGCCGUGUCCCACCUGGCCCAUAUCUUAGCCACUGCCUCACCGAGCCCAACCGCUCGCUAGUCACGCAUGGUGGCCACGUUCCCCCUCUGCUAAAAAAAAACUUCGUGAGAACUGAUCAACUGAAGCACGAACUCCAUUCAAUCCUUUCCUCAAAAAAAAAAAACUCCAUUCAAUCCUCUAGAUUCCCAAUUGAAGCCCGCCAAAGAAAACCCCAUUCGCUCCUGAAUUGGUACCGCGAGUGGGAUGGCGUUGAUUCGCUGUGGAAUACCGGCAGCGGGCGGCGGUUGCUAGUCUGGGGCGAUUCGGCGGGCCUGGAGCAAGAGCCGGCGGAGCAAGGGCGGGCCACGGGUGCAGGAGCAGGAGCCGGCGGGGGUGAGGGCGAGCUGGGUCUGCGGCGAUUCCCGGAGGUUGCUGCUGUGAACGGCGACUCCGGCAGGGAGUUUUUGGCGGCAGGCGGCGGCAGAGAUUUCCGCCGGUUGAGGACGACGGCCCGGAUCGAGGCGUGUCCGAGAUCAGCCCACUUGGGAUCGAUUCCGGGUCGACUGAUUGGGCAUCUGAAAUAGGAACCCGCGGGCCGACCCUGGGCCGGAACCAACGGCGGCGGCGGGCCGGCCCGGUCUCUUCAACGCGCGUGUGUCGGCGGUGCGGGUCAAGUUUAUUUUUUUCUGAAUUACCUCUUUCAUAAUCUCGCAGCUUUUCUUCACGAGCGUAGAUGGCCAAUGGCCGGGCGGACGACAUUGUAGCGAGAGUCGUGUUUUCUUUUGAUUAAAGAUGGCAUUUUCUCCGAUUUCAUUAAAAGAAACAAUAUGUCUGUUAUAUAAAAUAAAUAAGUCCAAUUUUAAGAGCUACACUAAGCAAACAGCAAGAAGGCUACCCCUACAUUAUUCCCCUACACAUUGUUGUGCUCAGCAAACAAGACACUCUUCCUCGUCCAGCGAUACAGAGAAUAUGCAACAGGCCUACAGAUUUUGUCAACGGCCCUAACCUUGAGAUCGACAGAAGACCUCACAUGUGACUUGCCACAGUCUGCGGGAGCAUUUGCGAAGCGGUUCUCAAGUGGCGGGCUUAUGAAAACCAGCCCAAAGAUGAAUAAUAGAGCAGAUGUUAAAAUCACUACCGGAGGAUCAUAAGGUAACUUAUUCUUAAAACAAGCAUCCUUCCUUGUCUUCCAAAGAGUCCAAAGAACGGCUGCAACUCCAACUACCACGAGGUUUUCAACUUUCUUGCCAAACUAAAUCAGCCAACAAUAAAGCAAGUCCUAAAUAGAGACUGGAUCUACAACAACAUUAAAGCUAACUUGUACAGCAUUCCAGACAUAUCUUGCCAAGACAGCAUGAAAAGAACAAGUGGUCGAUGGAUUCUGUCUAGACCAGAAGGCACAUCUCUCUUCCCCCUCCCACCCUUGAGAUUUCAAUACAUCUAUGGUAAGUACACUACCUCUGUAGACCAGCCAAAGGAACACCAUAAUUUUCAGAGGCAUUUCUACUCUCCAGAGAAAGAAGUAUGGAAAUCGAACAUGGGACCGUUCAGUGCUCUGUACAUCGAGCCUACUAAAAAUCUCCCCUGGCAUCAGGUUUCCAAUACAGCUUGUAAUCUCCCCCGGUUAUCAUGUACCGAGUGUCGGUACACGAGGUUUUAUCAGGUUCGACUCUCCACGUGGAGAUAAAGAUCUACAUCUUGUUUGAUUGCAUUGAUCUUGAUUGUAGCGAUUACAAGCUGUGAUUCUUGUGUAGGCUCGGAAUCUAAUUCUAUGAUCUAUUGUCGAUUGUAAUAAGCUAUAAAAUUGUGUGCCUCGGGGCAGCCCCUGAUGGCCUUAUAUACUUGGCCAAUCUAGCUUACAAGUAGAAUUCCUAGCGGGACUCAACAAGAUGCUUGUGAUGGGGUAAUGGAACUAUAUAUUAUGAUCAAGGGCGGAGCUAGAGGAAAAAGCAUCCGAGUGCACUCUUUAAAGUUCAAUACUUCCUGGGACGCCUAGACAGCUUGGCCUGAUGCACACUUCCUAAUAAUCCCUAGUGCACUAGCUAAUUGCAGGGUAUAGUUAGCAUUAGAAAUUUUGUUUGACCCCUGGUGCAUGUGACCUAGGGAGCCAACAAGUAGGUCCGCCCCUGAUUAUGAUAACCCUAAACUGUCUUCAUAUGUUACAUUACACUCUCAAAAGUUGCAAUCAUGUUUUGUCUUUUAUCUAUUUAAAUAAACACUCAAAUCCAUGUUUUGUUUAUCGUCUUUAUGCUCGAGGAUAAGUAUAGACUAAGUUUGGGGGCGUUGAUUAUGUAAAAUGCAUACAUGAACUUUGACGUUUAUAAUGCCAUAUUCCAUCAUAAUUGUAUCGCAUUAUGAGUUAUUACCAUGGUUUUCAAUGAUUUGGGAAACUUCCCAUGAGUUCUCAUUAUUUUGAUAUUUAAUUAUGGAAAGAAGGAAAACCUCUUUUAAGUGUUUUUAACAUUCUAGGAGCUACGGGACUCGAAAAAGGGCACGAUCAGUGGCCACGGUUCAGAAAUUUUGAGAUGCCUCCAGCAAGUCAAAGCAGGCCAUCAGGGUAUCAACAGAAUGCAAAUGGGGCCCCACGGUGCACACCCCCUCCAGGCGCGACGUGCGGCCCACCACGGCCUUCCCUGCCCCUUUUGCCUUCGCUCAUUCGUGUGCAGCUUUGUCUUGACCUAAAACCAUCCAUAUAUACCCCCAAUAAAUUUAAUUCGUGACAUACGGCGACGAAGAGAGGAAACACAAUAACAGAGAUCUACAGGUAAAGACAUGUUUUCCCUCGGAGCUUUUCAUCUCUUAUAAGCAAACACACACACGCCACGAGCUUGACCUCUUGAAGCAUAGAGGAUUGGGCUUUCUCUGAAAAGAGUCACUUUUGUUUACAUUUUACUUGCUUUACUUUACUACACUUUAAAUUCCUCUACUCUAGUAGUUUAUUUCUACAAGUUAAAGAAACCUUGCAUCCGUUAAUUUAUUGGAUCGCAUAAACGGCCGUAUAAGUGGCUUAUAAAUAAUUAGAGAAUAGAUAGUUACCUUCUGCUCCUUGUGGGUUCGACACCAGUACUUAUCAAAAGGUACUACAUUGAUUCCUACACUCGUGUGGGUAUCAAUAUUCUACAUAUACAAAUUUGUGAUUUUAUGCACAAAACACAAAUCAAGUGUAUAUUUUGACGAAAUUACAAAGUGUAAAAUACAUUUAUACUUACACUAGAAAAAGAAUCAAAGCUUCACAAUAUGAUUUUUUUUCAAAUUAUAGGGACCGUGUAGCCAGGAGCCAAAAGUCCAUGUCCGAAGGAAAACUACUUCUCUCUCUACCCAAACGUAUAGAAGAAAACCUUGAGCUUCCAGACAUGGUCGCAUCAUCUCUUCCAUGUCUUCGAAAGCUCUUUAGAGCAUCAUAUCUUCCAUGUCUUCCAACUCUUUGGUCGUCGAGCCAAGUGGAGUUGGGCUGUCUGUUUCGGCGAGAGCAUAUCAGGUGCACCAAGCCCAUUGGUGCACCCGUACGUUGAAGCAACCAGAGCCGCCAUAUGGAAAAUGAAGGGUCCAGAUCAAAACAACGAAGGAAUUCACAUGUUUUAUGUUUAGUCCCUUAAGUUAGUUGUGAAUCAACUCGCGCUCCACUGCUCGUUAGUGUUUCUUGGACUUGGGGGUGGAUUUAAAUAGAACUGAAGGGUGUGAAUGGAAAAGAACACUAUAGAAGAGUGGAGCAUAGGUUGAUUCGCGAUAAACUUAAGGGCCUAGAUGUAAAACGACAAUUGGUUAUGUUUGAUCUAAACUUGGCCCUUGCUUUUCCAUCCAACGGUCCAUGUGGAUUGGACACACAGGGUGCACCAAAUGUCCCAGUGCACCUGAUACGCCCUCCUAUUUCGGCAACUAUACACGUGUCCAAGACUGUCAAGAAACCCGGUCUACUCCCUCAUAAUUGCAUUUAAAUCUAUGAGCUGGCUGAUGACAACUAGCGAAUCAUUGUGCCAUCUGUUGAUUUUUCAAAUCGCUUUGAUCUAUUUGACGAUCUUGGGAACGAUUGUACAAAAGCAAAUGUUCCCCUUGGUAGAAAGAAACGCCUGGUUAAAUUUCCACCAAACCGUCCUCUCUCGGCUAGUACUUAUGCAUUUGUCCUCGAAUUUGGCUUAAAUAGGGUUCUCCAAAUUAUCCGCAACAUCCGUAAGUUUUGUUCUCUCGCAUGCCCUUUCAUGUUUGUGUUGAAAGUUUUGGGAGAGAUGGAUUUAGACUACUUGAAUUCCAGCUUUGUGCAUGAUUUGGUUGUGUUUAUUAUUAUCUUCUCACAUAGAUCUAAUAUGUCCUCUGCGUUUCGUAGGAUCGUGAAGCAGGUUGGGAAGCCCGUUGACGUUGUAGAAAGACAUCAUAUCUUCGUUCUGAGUUCAGAGGUGAGAACUUUGUUCCGAUAUGUUUUUCACGUUAUGUUCUUGUAAUAUAGAUCUGAUGUCGCUUUAGUUCUUUGUUAUAUCAAUACAAGGUAAAUUUGCACUUAUCAAAAGGAAGAUGAACUACCAAGUUCUAGUGCAAACUCUCUUUUGGUCCUUCGUUCAUGCAAAUUUACGUGUUUAAUUUCUCGCCCUUGAUAUGCAACAAUUGGUUGGGAAAGGAUAAAACCUGAUAGAUGAGUCCUUCAAGAGCGCCUAGGAUUCAUGAAUGAAAUUGGUCUAAACGUCUCGUUUUCAUCGACUUAUUCAUUAUUCAUCUAAGGAUAAACAAACUUGUGAUGAUGCUUUGCCAUUGUUUGGUUGAUUGGAUUUGAUCUAUGUAAUAUGGUUCCUAGGUUCUUGUCUGAGUGAAGAUAAUCAAGUGGAAAACUAGACAGUUUACAUCCUGUAACUACUAAAUUGAUUCAAAAUCACCCACAAGAUUGUGUCAUGUAGUAUUUUUGUCAUGCUUGCAGUUACAAUCAUUUGAUUUUUAUGGUGCGGAUCAUUACGUACAUUGUGGUCAACAAUCCUUGUAUGCACACCAGCACACUUGCCCAUGUAAUCAUUUAAGACCAUUGAAUGUGCAAGCUGAAGAUAAAUAUAUUUUGAAUUUGGUGAUAUUUUAUAAAUUUGAUGAACUUUUCCUCCUUGGAAUAGCACACAAGUUGUUUUGAAGUCCUUGCAUAUCAGAAUUCAGAACACAUGGAGUAAACUAGAAAUAAGAUGAGACUGUAAAGUUGUUUUCUUGAGAAAAGCUAAUGCCCAUGAGUUAUGAAAAAGAAAAACUAUUCCAGUGUUUAGCCAUUAUUUAUGCAAAUUCAUAGGUGUUUAAUUAUUUCAUUGAUCAGCGUAUGAUUUAAAAUAUUUUUUAGGUGAGGAUUGAUUGCAAAGAUUAAACCCACAACACACUCCCAAUUAAAUAAAAUUAUUGUGCAUUAUUAUAUUAAUUGUCGCAAUUAAAUACAAUUAGUAUACAUCACUCAUUUUAACCGGCAAUAUCAAUGUGUCAUCAUUGUAUUUAAUAUUUUGGGAGCAAAUAAUUAUUGCACAUUAUUAUAUUAAUUUUCUCAAUUAAAUACAAUUAGUAUACAUCACUCAUUUUAACGGGCAAUAUCAAUGCGUCAUCAAAGAGUGUAAUUAUUUGUCAUCAAGUUGUAUAAUUAAAAUUGUCCCUAUGUCACACAAACAAACAGCAACUACACUCACGUAGAUAAGAAGAAUGCUGUGUGGGGCCAAACAUAGAGGCGCUGCUCGCUGCAACUGACAUCAAGAGCUGCCACGAUGCAGGAGGAAGCCAUACCUUCUAAGGAUCCAAUCAGGUUUCUACGUUAGGAGACAUUCAUGUUUUUCCAUUAGAAGUCCUAGUCUUGGAUUAUAUUAGAAGUCGUGUGUAUUUUCCACAAGCGAAAGAGAAGAUAAAACAUUUUCAUGGACGGCAUUCUCCAAACAAAGAAGAACAACUAGCAAAGUUAAGGAUAACUAGGUGGGAGACUACGUCGUCUUCUAUGCUUAUGCUGGGAGAACACCUCACCGAUCGUCUCUUCUUCCAAUUAUGCAACGUGUAACCAUCUGUCGGCCAUCGUACCGUGAAAGCAAAAAUUAACGAACCAAGUGUGUACAUGACAUAUCACUUGUUGGCGAGAAGACAUUUUCCUCUUGUCAUAUAUCACACCAUUUAUGCAUGGCCAUGAGGACCAACAAAAACUAGACAUGCACACUAACCAAGAUUUGGAUCUUGGAUCAUAGUAUACCAAUACCCAGGAGCCAAUAGCAAAAUGGCACAGCAGCCGCUCUGAAAUCCCUGAUCGCUAGUAGCUUACUGGCCGGCGUGCAGAAACAUACACAUGUGGAUCGCCUGGAUCGCCGGCCUGCACCUGCAGUGUUCCUGCAUGCAGGGAAAUUAUCUUUACCAACAUUCCAAAAUAAAUUAGUGUCAAGAUGAGCAAAUGAACCGCAAAAACACAAAAGGGCGUCAAAAAGGUGCUUGCGAUCAUAGGCGCAGCCAGGCCCCAGGCAACACGGGCCACGGCCUAGGGCGUGGCCAAAAUUUUCAAGCUAAAAAAGAAAAGAAAUUAGGUUUGGCAUGGGGUGUCGUGGCCCACUGGCCCAAGCCAGCUAGCCCAGCCCAGGGCGUGAGCAAUUCAUGACUCCGCCCCUGCUUGCGAUGAAGUUUAAGUCAGAAUAAAGCAGCUAGUAGUGAAGAAUAAAGUGAUGGCUAUGCGCCAAGAUGAGAGACAGAACAAAAAACGAAAAUCAAGAAAAGAAAAUACAUGAACACACAAUUCCAGAGAGAGAGAAAAGCUAAGAAUCCACCAGGCAUCUCUAAUCUUUUCUAGUUUGUUGUGAAUCAACUCGCGCUCCACUGCUCUUUUGUGUUUCUUGGACUGGGGGGGGGGGGGUGGAUUUAAAUAGAACUGAAGGGUGUGAAUGGAAAAGAACAUUAUAGAAGAGUGGAGCGUUGGUUGAUUCACGAUAAACUUAAGGGCCUAGAAGUAAAAUGGCAAAUGGUUAUGUUUGAUCUAAACUUGGCCCUUGUUUUUCCAUCCAACGGUCCACGUGGAUCGGGCGCACCAAAUGGCCCAGUGCACCUGAUACGCCCUCCUAUUUCGGCAACUACACGUGUCCAAGACCUACCAGAAACCCGGUCUACUCACUCAUAAUUGCAUUUAAAUCUAUGAGCUGGCUGAUGACAACUAGCGAAUCAUUGUGCCAUCUGUUGAUUUUUCAAAUCGCUUUGAUCUAUUUGACGAUCUUGGAAACGAUUGUAUAAAAGCAUAUGUUCCCCUUGGUAGAAAGAAACGCCUGGUUAAAUUUCCAGCAAACCGUCCUCUCUCGGCUAGUACUUAUGCAUCUGUCCUCGAACUUGGCGUAAAUUGGGUUCUCCAAAGUAUCCGCAACAUCCGUAAGUUUUGUUCUCUCGCAUGCCCUUUCAUGUUUGUGUUGAUAGUUUAGGGAGAGAUGGAUUUAGACUACUUGAAUUCCAGCUUUGUGCAUGAUUUGGUUGUGUUUAUUACUGUCUUCUCACAUAGAUCUAAUAUGUCCUAUGCGUUUCAUAGGAUCGUGGAGCAGUUUGGCAAGCCCGUUGACGUUGUAGAAAGAUAUCAUAUCUUCGUUCUGAGUUUAGAGGUGAGAACUUUGUUCCGAUAUGUUUUUCCCUUUAUGUUCUUGGAUAAUAUAGAUCUGAUGCCGCUCUAGUUCUUUGUGUCAUCUAGUAUUUUUUUUUCAUGCUUGCGGUUACAAUCAUUUGAUUUUUAUGGUGCGGAUCAUUACGUUCAUUGUGUUCAACUAUUCUUGUAUACACACCAGCACACUUGCCCAUGUAAUCAUUUAGAACCAUUGAACGUCCAAGGCGAAGAUAAAUAUAUUUUGAAUUUGGUGAUAUUUUAUAAAUUGUAUGAACUUUUCCUCCUUCGAAAUCGCACACGAGUUGUUUUGAAGUCCUUGCAUAUCAGCAUUCAGAAACAUGGAGUAAACUAGAAAUAAGAUGAGACUGUAAAGUUGUUUUCUUGAGAAAAGCUAAUGCCCAAUGAGUUAGGAAAAAUAAAAAUUAUUUCAGCGUUUAGCCAUUAUUUAUGCAAAUUAAUAGGUGUUUAAUUAUUUCAUUGAUCAGCGUAUGAUUUAAAAUAUUUUUUAGGUGAGGAUUGAUUGCAAAGAUUAAACCCACACGGCACACUCCCAACUAAUUAAAAUUAUUGUGCAUUAUUAUAUUAAUUUUCACAAUUAAAUACAAUUAGUAUACAUCACUCAUUUUAACUAGCGAUAUCAAUGCGUCAUCAUUGUAUUAAUAUUUAGGGAGCAAAUAAUUAUUGUACAUUAUUAUAUUAAUUUUCUCAAUUAAAUACAAUUAGUAUACAUCACUCAUUUCAAUACGUCAUCAAACAGUGUAAUUGUUUGUCCCUAUGUCACGCACACAAACAGCAACUAUCCUCGCCUAGAUAAGAAGAAUGUUGUGUGGGGCCAAACAUAAAGGCGCCGCUAGCUGCAACUGGCAUGAGGACCAACAAAAACUAGACAUGCACACUAACCAAGAUUUGGGAUCUUGGAUCAUAGUAUACCAAUACCCAGGAGCCAAUUGCAAAUUGGCACAGCAGCCGCUCUGAAAUCCCUGAACGCUAACUCACUGGCCGGCGUGUAGAAACGUACACAUGUCGAUGGCCGGCCUGCACUUGCAGUGUUCCUGCAUGCAGGGAAAUAAUCUUUUGCACUCGUACAAGUCCAGCUUUAUUUGUUGGCAGCAAGUCAAAGAUGUGUCGUGGCCUGCACCGCCGCAGCCAAUCCACAUCGGCACGAUUUACUUGCGCAAUUAUACGUUGAUUUAGUACCUGUUCGAGUAUUAUUUUGUUUCUUUUGAAAUUUCAACCAGCGCAUAUGUAGGAGUAAAUAGUAAACAGUUCCAUGGACUUGUGCUGGGCAGUACUGGCCCAAUCUUGGACGGUGGAGUACUGUACUACGAUGGGCCUGAACCGGACCUGAGUCCAGCAAUGUAUGUACACCAAGUUUGACCAAAGCCCAAUAUUGCUUAAGUCUAUUUUUAGACCACAAGCAUCACCCUAACAGAAAGAUAUGUAUGCACUGUACUGUUGCAAGUCAACAAGCUUUACAUGCAUCACCCUAACAGAAAGGAAUGAAAGAAAAUAAUGUCUUCAAGUCACACACGGGUGCCUAGGUACUGCUGUCUCCUUUUACCAACAUUCCGAAACCCAUAAAAAUUAAUGUCAAGAUGAGCAAAUGAACCGAAAAAACACAAAAGGGCGUCAAAAGGUGCUUGCGAUGAAGUUUAAGUCAGAAUAAAAUAGCUAGUAGUGAAGAAUAAAGUGAUGGCUAUGCGCAAAGAUGAGAGACAAAAUAAAAAAGAAAUUCAAGAAAAAAAAUGCAUGAGCACAUAAACCCAGAGGGAGAGAAAAGCUAAGGAUCCAGGCAUCUCUAAUCCUUUCCCGUUGAGCAAGAGAGAUAUUCUUGGAUGAUCCAGCCUUAUAUUGUUCCCAAAGACCAUAUCUAGGAUGAACAUUCCUCGUGAUCUAGGGGGACAUUCAGUUGAUAGAAAGAAAAAGGAGGGUGUCUUGUUUGCUGUACCUUAAAGAUGAUCAUUCUGUGAGGCACUUUGCAUGUCCAGCAGACCAGCACCACUUCAUAAUAUUCACCACCAAAAGAAGUGAUUAGGACCUUUCUCCCCACAGGGGAAAGGGAAUCUUAUUCCUCCGAGGUGAUCAUUAGUUUAAUCUCAUCAUGUUUGCAUAUGCCCUAAUCCCAAGUGCAGCUGUGUGCAUGCGUGUGUUGUUAAAAAAGACUUUGGCAAUUUUAUUUCUUUCGGAAGAGAAUGUUGUGCCGUUAGAGGGGCAUCACCACGCUAUCACUAGUCACUAGUUUCUAGGCAUUCAGACAGGCAAACAGACAAAGAAAAAAAGUUGCAGGAUCCAAGACUAGUAUUAAGUGGGCCUAAUGACAGUAAUAUCUUUGCACACCCCAAGGUGAUGAUGCAUGGAGUACAGUAGGUGCUAGCUCCAAAUUCAUCAUGAUAGAUGGCCAAAUGAUAAGAAUCUCCGAGAUGGCAUCUUGUGGAUGCAGAGAGUCAGCUAACAGUAGGCCAUGCUUAAUUAGGACAUACAAGUCACUCUAAUCAGGGGUGCUGCCGUGCACAUGCUGGCCCAAAGGGGAAAGUUGUAGACUGAUUAUUCUUUUUCUUUUUCUUUUUUUAAGACGCCCCCUAAUCUGUUCGUUAAUUGCUGGUGUCACUGACAUAUCUGCUGUUAGCCUCCAGAGCAUGCACAUUCCAGUGCUGUUUUUUUUUCCGAAAAAGGCAGGAGCUCUGCCAUGUAAUAUUAGAAGAAAAAAAAUAUAGGUACAAGAAUCAUUUUUUUGCCGAGAAUUCCAGUGCUGUUAUUUUUUAUGCUUGCACAUUUCCAGGAAGCAUCAGAUGAUUGGUUAGUGGUGGUCACGGGGGGUAUCCUUAGGAGAGGGGGUGUGGUGGUCAACUCUUAGGGCACAAUGAUGAUACAGACAAACCCACUAUGCUCUGCUACAACCUGACGACUGAGCCUGAUAAUACUGUUACUUACAACUUUCUUUUAGUACUCCAAUGUAGAAACAUAUGCAUCCAGCUUAAUUCUUUUUUCAUAACCUUAUGCCAAUAUAUAGGAGAACAUGAGUUAGGUUUGGAUAGUUUUUGUUAUGAAUUUUGUAAGUACCCAUUCAUUGGUGAAUUAUGCAGAGUGUUAUACCCAUUGCUGACACUUAUAUACUACAUUCUCUUAGUUAUACUUACUGCCCCAUGAUUUCUUUCUUGCUAAUUCCAUCUUGUAUGCAUGAGGAUUCUUAUUUCUUUUGUGCUUACUGAAUUUGGUUGACAUGCUAUUUCUAAAUGCCACGUCUUUUUCUCUUGAAACAUACAUGUUAUACCUCAAUAGUUUCAGCAAUGUUUUUCUUUUCUUCAAUUUACCAUGAAGUUCUACAAUGAUUGAUAUAUAUGGACUUAAAUUUUCAUGUGGUUGCAAUGUGCUUAAUUUAAUAUGUACUGGCGUUACUUUAAGAGCAUACGCAAAUUAGAUGUUUUUUUCAGUUUUCUUUCACAUCAAGCAUGUAAAACUGGUAGGUAUACUUGUAAAUGUGAAAAUAGUUUCUUCAGUUGUGUUAGUCGAACAUGAUAACUUGCAUUACUAGUUUUAAAAAUCCAACUAUAUAUGUUUUGUGUCAUGUGAAGAAGCUAGUGUUCAAAAUAGAAUACAUUUGUCUAUGUGAAGAGGGAAAAAAAAUUAGAAGCACCAUGCAUAGUAUUAAAGUGAUGCCGUUACAUCCAUCUCGUAGCAGCAGUUAUGACCUGUGAUCAGGGGAAACACUGUCCAUGAAUUGAUGGGGUCGGACUAUAGAAUUUGAUAUUACGCUUGCUUAUGCAUGAGAAUUAAAUACCCAGCACAAGGGGUUUGUGAUGGUAUACAUACUAGAGCCCAUGAGGGGCAUUAAUUCCUAACUCGAUCCAUUCUUCUCAGUUCUUCAGGAAACCUCUAGCUACUCUAGCAUUCUGCCCCCCCCCCCUCUCACCCCUUAAGAUGAGAGAGAAAAGAGGUUUUGGGGUGUUUAAAACAAGCAAAUUGACAGAAAUCACAGGCACAGUGGAGGCAAGGCAUGCCCGUCUUGUUCCCAUCUCUCUCUCUCUUCUGACACACCACAGCCUGCCCCUCUCACUCUCUCUCACCCUCUCCAUGGAGCAAGCUUUUUUACUGAAGCAAUGAAGUCAAGCAAUCAAGUGAUAAGCUUGCAUUCCUGAUAGUGCAAGCAAAGCAAAGCGCUUGAAGACAGCCUCCCUUGUCCUCCUUCCUCUAGCCUUGCCUUCUUCACUUCUCCACCCCCCUUCACAGGCGCCCACAUCUCCUUCCACCAUCUCCAUUCCCUCGUAUACUAUUUUCUUUCUGUUGGCACUUUGUGUGAUGUGCCCUAGGCCCUAUAGGCUAUAGCCCCCUAGUCACUUCACUACAAUGGUGGAAGCUGCAAACACUGGAGGCCUUGCCCCUUCUUUGUCCUCUUGAUUAGCCCUUGACAAACAAACACAAGGUCCGUUUGCUUUUGGUCUCUCUCUCUCUUCCCACUGUGCAUAGCAGUGUAGGGAGAAAAAACCCUCUGGAUGGUCUCUCUCACUGUCUCACACACACACAUAAACACAAAGAAUUAACAUCUGCACAUGAAGCUCCUCCUCCUUUAGUUUCUAGUCCUUGUUGUUGUGCAUUUAGUCCACAAAGAAAAAACUAGCUGGUACUAGUAGUGGUGGUGUAUAUGUAGUCGUAAGAGUAACUAGUAAAACCUCCACAAAGUAAGCACCCCUCCCUCCCUCUCUUUGCCCAAGAAGAGCUCGACUGUUCAUCCUCCCCUUCCUCCAUGCAUCCUUCCACUGGCUAGUUAUAGUGAGUAGCAGCAGCUGUCUUCUCUCUUCUUAAGCAUCUCCUCCCUUCUUCCUUCUUCUAAUCUACUUGUUUGUCUGGGGAGGGGGGCAAGAGUAGCUCAACACAGUAGAGGCUGAUAAGCUAGAUAGAGAUAGCUAGGACUAGGAGGAAUUAAUAGGAUAAUAUUAUAAAAUAUCUGCAUUUUUCUUCCAUGGUCCAAUUGAGCAUGCAAACUAUAGAGUAGCUUAGAUUAAUAAGCUCAUCUCCUCCAUCUUGGAGAGAGUUUGCAAGUGGUUGUAGUAGUAUCUUCUUGAUAAGGUCCCCAAGAUCCCACACCACAGCAUACCAUACAUGCACCUCGGUUUCCUUUUUGUUCUCCACACACACAUACUCUCUCUCUCUCUUUACUUUAUACUUUAGUGCCUUCCUGUUUCGAGUCCCAAGAAACACUGAGAAUUUUGUUAGCGUCCUCGUGAGAGAGCCGAUUGAAUCAGGCCACUGACAAUUUUUCCUCUGUGUAAUUUCUCAUGGUUUCCAUUGUGCCGCUGCAGAGAAGGCAAGCAGAAGCAAGGAUGGAUCUCUCCGGCACCACCCGCGGCGAGCUCCCGAUCCCCAUGAACGCCUCCUACGGUCCUGCCGCUGCCGCUGGCUCCGUCGUAGUCUCCGGCGCCGGCCACUCCCAUGCCGCCGCCGCCCACAACGGGCAGCAGCAGAUGACGGCUCCUCUGAUGCCUGCUGCUGAGGUGGCGAACAACAACGCUGCUGCCGCCAUUGGCAUUGGCGGCAAGAAGCGCUCUGCUGCUGCAAGCGCUGGAGCUGGAGCUGGGAUUCGGGCUGGCAAUGGCGCCGGGGGAGCGCCGCUGGCAAUGGUGAAGUACAGGGAAUGUCUGAAGAACCAUGCCGCGGCGAUUGGGGGAAAUGCUACUGAUGGCUGCGGCGAAUUCAUGCCGAGCGGCGAGGAAGGGUCGCUGGAGGCCUUCAAGUGCUCCGCCUGCGGCUGCCACAGAAACUUCCACCGCAAGGACUUCGACGACGACCUCGCUCUCCACCGCCGUCUGCUCCUCGGGCCCCACCACCUCAUCCCCAGGGGCCCCAUCGUCCCCAGCUCCGGCGCCGGAGACCACUACGGCGUUGGAGGCGGCGCCGCCUACGCCCGCGCCGCCCUGCCCCCGCCGCAGCACCCGCAUCAGAUCGUGAUGCCGCUCAACAUGAUCCACUCCUCGGAGUCGGACGAGAUCAUGGAGGGCGGCCAUGGCAUUGGGGGAGCGGUGCUCUCCCGCUCCCUUGGCCAUGGCGGCGGCGGGGCGUCUUCUUCGCAGCAGAAGCGGUUCCGCACCAAGUUCACCCCGGAGCAGAAGGCGCGGAUGCUGGCGUUCGCGGAGCGCGUGGGGUGGCGGCUGCAGCGGGCCGACGACACCGCCGUGCAGCGCUUCUGCCAGGAGGUCGGCGUCAAGCGCCGGGUGCUCAAGGUGUGGAUGCACAACAACAAACAUAACCUCGCCUCCAACAAGCUCCCCAUCCCCAGCACCCCAAACUCGCCCCAAGCUGAAGCUCAAGCUCAGGAUCAAGACCAGCCUCCAAUGGCGCCCGCGCCGGUGAAUUCCAUGCCGCCGCCGCCGGAGCAGGAGCCCGGGCAGGACGAUCAGCAGCUCGACCUCGAGUGAUCGAUCAGAUUGGCAGUGGUUCUUGGUGAUUCUGCUAGCUAGCCAUAGCAAAAAACCCAGCAUUUGCGUUUAUUUUUACUGUUCUAUCGGACCGAUCGGAUUUUAUUAAUUUGCGGGGAGGGAGGACGAAGAACCCAAAGAAACUAGGCCCGUGGUUAUUAUUAUUAUCGUCGUCGUCUUUUUUUUAAUCUUGGCAUAAGGUAGGGGAGGACAUAACUGAGCUGCUCUGCUCAACUUCCGGUUAUUAUUAAAAAAAAAUUCCUGGACUUGCAUUUUUUUUGCCCUGCCAUUUUUCCCUGACUUUUAAGUCUAGCUCUAGCAGCGGCUGAUGUGCCUGGCUGAGCAUUUGUCUUGUCAUGGAUCAGAGGGUUUUAUUGAAUUAAUUCUGACUUUUUUAAUAUUUCUCCCUUGGUAUUAUUAUAUCUGUGUGGUUUCUUAGAUUAAUCUGUGCUCUGGUGUGGUAUUAUAGUUAUAUGUGAUUUGAGGAAUUUUAUUUAGAUAUAUAAUGUGAUGGGAGAUGAUGCACAAAAACAAAGAGAGAGCAUGAGCUGGGAUGCAAAUCUCUGCUCAUGUCUUGUGUCUUUCAUGCCCACUGUUGAUGACAUGAUGCGCAUGCACGGUGCACCCCUUUGCUUAAUCUGCAGUUGCUGUCGGUGCUCUUACUGUGGCCUGCCCUGCACUGCAUGCCUGAUCUCAUCUCAUCAGUUUUAUUUACAUCCAUCUCUCAACUCACCAAGAAAUUUAAAAAAAAAGAGGGAAGGGUUUCAGAGGAGAUAGGUGCAGCAGGCAAACAAAAACGGUGAGAAUUAAUACCCCUGUUUGUCCCAUUUCUCUCUUUGGGGGCAGAUAAUGCUCAUUAGUCCUUUGCCCCUGCAGCACAGCACAGCACAGCUACAGGCUUGGCCCCAAGCAGUCAAUCGGGGCAUUGGGGCCGUGUAGGUGUGCAGGGGGGCAGGGGAGCAUGUGGCAAACGAAUCUGAAGGUAGUUUGGAACUUUGGAUUGCCUUGUGGUGUAGUUGGAAUUGCAACAAGGGAGAGGAGCAAGCAAUGCAUUGCUAGCCUGCUAGGUGGCUGUGGCUGUGGCUGGUCCCCCGAUUUGUCCUCCGGCAGGAGAUUUCUUGCUACGGCUUCUCUUGAUUGUUUUACCCUCAAUUGAUCCCUACUACUUCCUAUGAUAAAUGGCUCCGCCUGCCUGGCUGCCUGUGAGGAUCAAGAUUUCAAGUACUACCGAUCUGCUGGUCUUAAGUACAGGUUUUGGUACUGCAAAUGAUGUGAAAUUGGAUUUCUGUUAGUAGUACCUGCUUGAUCCUUUACUAAUGUCUCUCUGUAAGUGUGAUUCAAGUACUGAUUUGUUUUAAGAUGAGAUUCAAGUACUGCUGAUUUGGCGGUCUCACCCUCAAGUAGAUGUGUGAUUGGUUUUUUGUACCGGCUUGAUAAUAAUAGAUGUAUGCUUGCUGGGACAAGCUUUUUUAAGGAGAUCAAGUGCUGCUGAGACGAAACUAAUUGCCGUGCCAAUGUUUUAUUGUCCCUCUGUGCGUCGUGUACUUUCUUUGCCGACCUGUAAUGGUGGCAGGAGCGUUUUAUGUCACUAACGCUGCGGGCAUUUACCCUGAAAUGACAAGCUGCUGCCUGGUUUAAGUGAUUUGCGGUGUCCUGGCCCAUGGGAGUAACGCUGCUCACUCCGAUCCUAAAUUGUUUUCGAAAUAUUACAUGUAUCUAAACGUUUUUUAAAAAUAGAUACAUCGAUAUUCGGACAAAUUUGAGUCAAGAAUUUAGGAUCGUCCCUUUGGAUUAAAUGCUUCUUUGUACAAAUAUUCUAAGAUAAAUGCUAAUCGUUUUUAUGAAAACCUUGCAGUAAAAAUGACACCGUGCAUCGAUUGUUCCAGAGAGGUCAGGAAUCUUUUCACAUUUUCGGAAAAAAAAAAUGCCGCCGUGAACCCCCUUACUGGAUAUUUAAACCCCAGAACUUCAAUAAAAGAAAGUAAAAUGCCACUUUCAAAAAAGAAAAUGUAAAAUGCAUCACAGGUUCCGGGUGUCAAGUUGGUUCUAGUCCUAAGAGAAAUUAAAGUGAUGCAUCACAAUUGAGUUCUCCGUGAUCCUGUCAAGUUGGUACCUGCUUCUAUUUAGUUCUCCUUCUGCUACAUUGCACAGCAAUCUGGAUCCUGGAUGCCGAGGCAAGAGGCUCUCCUAGGAGAUCAUGUGCCGAGACAAAACUCACUAGUGCUAAGUACACGUUGUGCCAAUGUUUUCUGUGUGUCCGACCUGCGUUGGCAGGGGCGUUUUACGUCACUAGUGCUGCGGUCAUUUAAGCUGAAAUGUACAGGCUAGUACUGUUAAGAAUAUAAAUAUACUGACUAGCCUCUUUCUGUAAGUUCGUACUUUUGGUUCAAGUGGCUAGCGCAUCAAUCUAAUGGUGCUAGUUCUUUUCGGUUUCCUGGACCGGUUUGUCUGAGAAGCUACCCUCCACCAGUUUCCUGUAGAAGCCACCACCUAAUUUGAUUAGGUUAUCAAACUAGUUUGGAUUAAAUUACUUUGAAAAGCUAGCUAAAUUAAAGAUGCGGCUUCUCCAAGAAACUAGGUGAGAGCAGUUUCUAGGAGAAGCCAGUUCUAGAAGUCGAAAAGAACGAAACCAUGGUAUUGGAGUCAAGAGGUCUCAAGUUCAACACCUUGCUCACGCAGUAUUAAAAAAAACGAUUCUACGGCCUACACCGAAUCGACGCUAAGGACUAAAAUAGCUUAGACGUGAAGAGGAGUGUUGAGAAUAUAAAUAUAUUGACUAGGCUCUUUCCGUAAAUUCGGACUUUUGGUUCAAGUGGCUAGCACAUCAAUCUAAUAAGUACUAGUGUUCUGUCCCCUCGCAGAGAGUAAUGUUAUGUUUAUCCAGUUUAGAGACUAGAGUUGUUUAUCCAGUUUAGAGACUAGAGUUUGGUACUCCGUCCGAUCUAUAUUAAUUAGCUUAAAUUUGUCCAAAUAUGUAUGUAUAUAUGUCUAAAAAACGUUUAUAUAUAUAUAUAUAUGUAAUAUUUCGACAAGUAAUAUGGAUUAGAGGGAGUACUUAUCUUGUGGCCUUGGAUGUUAGGCCGAAUAUGGUGAGUUACUUGUUCAAUCGCCGUUUCACGGAAAAUUGGGUAGGGGAAUGAAGAAAAUGAUGCAUGCUAGAAAGGCCAAAAAUAUUACUGCAUGCUGAUUUUAAACUGCAUUGCUUCAUGCUGUGCCAGGUUUGAUCCUCAUUUGUCUCGUCUGGGCCAUGGGGCCAUGCUAUUUGCAUACAUGUCACUUUGGAUUCAAGGCAAGUCCUAGAAAUCCUGUUAAGCUGAUCUCUUCUCCUUGACUCGUGUGCAGAAGGCCUGUAGUCCGGUAGGUUGCUUGCGGCCUAUAUGAACCGGAAACGAGGGUUCACCUCAUCAUGUUCGAGAAUGUAAAUUCAGUCGAUGGAUUUGGUUUGGUUGUGUGCGUCACUUGAUGCAGGGACCUUCUUUUUUUCCGAAAAAAUAAGUGGAGGAUUUGGCGUUGGUCAAUAACUGGUUCGGCUUUGAUCUUGAUCUGAUUCCGCCAACACGGUCGUAUAGUUAUUCUUUUAAAAAAGGCGAAUUCUCUGGCCAAGCGAUGUACACAACCAUCACACGGUCGUACAGUGGUGGCAUGACAACUUCUUUGACUCGUGAAACCGUAGAAAGGCGAUCACCUAGUUUCUUGUAUUUGUCUUAUGGAAGAUUUGGAGCGAACGCAACGUCCGCGUUUUCGGAACCUAGUCAUACUGCCCUCGAUCAUCUUGCUCGCAUCGAAAGCACGACAAAUUGAGUACUUGCCGGGGCCAAGCAUCUCAGGUCAAUUUUAACGAGAGAGUAGAGUCGGUUGUCGUCCUUGUUUUUAGCGCUUGUCUUGGAUCUCUUUGAUCUAACUUUUUCUCUAUUAAUGAAACGAGACUUCUGCCUCCAUUUAAAUAAAAUGAAAAUAAAAUGAACCAAACUCCCCCUUCUUGGUGCCAGAAUUUGGGUUGUCAUGUGCAUGACCAACAUGCAUGCGCACGGUGCAGCCUUGUGUUGUGUUGAUAUCGUUGUACUACGAUGUCUCCAUCGUACAGUAAAGUGCAAAUAUUUGACUCGAGCUGUAUGGAAUUUUUAGUCAAGUUUCUACAAAACAUCUAUCAGUUUUUAAAAAGCAAAAAAUAUUGAUGUACAUAUUAAUCUAUAUACCACAUAUGUGUAAAAAAUUACUAAGAAAAUCUGCCAUGUGAGAUAAGUAAAAAAAAUACAAGUUGAUGAAGUGCAUCUAGUGAAAGUCACAUCAAAUUUUCGGGCUCCAUGGAGCCUGAGCUCUACAAGCAAUUUUGCUAAAAUUGGCACUGCACUUUGAAGGCUCCUUUAAUUCAAAAGAUUUUUUUAAAAUAAAUUUGAAUUAUUAGAAUUUUUUCGAUGGAGGCAUUGAAGGCUCCUUUAGUGCAAUUUGGUUGGUUGAUUUGUAAGAUUGAGUCUCGUAGAUUUUUUUUCGAAGUUCUCAACUUUGUACUUAAUUCAAGACACUUAUUAUGGAUCGGAGAGAAUACUUGUAGUUGAUACUAAAUUUUUACUCGCAAAAAAAAGUUUAUACUACAUUUUUAAGUUCUUGGAAAUCGUUUCUUCUUUUCGUGGUAGAAUCAAACAAACUUUCUGUACAAAUUCAAUGCAGUAGGAUUCGAGCGGACCCUGAUCCAGUGUGUUUCAGAUUCCUGCGUUUUAUCAUUUAUCCUGCAAAUGAAAAAGCUCUAAGCAAGUACUUUUUCCCUCAAAAGUAAACGACUGCAGCAUCAUACUCGAAGAAUAUGGUCACAUCCAACAGUUCGUAUCCGAAUUCUGACGAGGUGAAAAUAUAGACACACGCAAUGGAGAAGGCCUGAGUGCUUGGACAUACUGACGACACGAGCGAAAAUUGCAAGAAUCCAGCAGAAGAUGCUCAGUAAAACAAACAGGCAUCGCACAAAUAUACAUGUGGGUUGUAGUACUGCACAAAAAUAUACAUAGAAAACAAUAAAACGCUUAGAUUUGAAUGUUUGAAACCAAUGUAACAAAAGGAGAACGAACAGCAGCGCCUUGCAGCUGUGCUGAGAUGAGAUAACCCAUGUGUUGUUGCAGGGGAGCCCAACCAAAACGCCCUCUUCCCAGCAGCUGAGCUGACAUAACCCAUGUGUGUCAGUGCUGCUGCAGAUGGAUCCGUGGUGGUUGCUGCCAAGGCAAGCAGGCAAGCCAUCGGAUCAGUCCCAUGUUCUUGGCAUCAGAACACCAUCGCCCCUCUUUGCUUACGUUCGGCUGAAGUUCAAUGCUCUGUUUGGUCCAUAUUAAUUCGCUGAUUUAGUAUGAAGUUGUACUAUCAGCCACAACCGUAUGGAUCGGAGGGAGCGGUACUAUCUAUACAGGAAGCAUUACCACCAGUUUUUUCUUAAAAAUUUGGUUGUUUCACAAGUGGAUUUUGAGAUUUUGCUUAGAUAAGGUGUCUGCCUGGAGUUGUUGUGCAAAAAAAAAAAAAAUUCUAUUCCAAAACUUUAUCACAAAUGGGUAUGAAGACCACAGAUCGAUCUCCGUUUUAGAAGGGACUCUUGGGAAUGAGAUGGUCUUUCUUUCUAUGCGUGUCUAUUCACUGUUAACGAUGGUAUGAGAGUUUGUUUUCAUGAGGACACGUGGUUGGGUUCUUCUCAUUUAAAGGAUCAAUUUCUGUCUUUUAUCGAAUUACGCUCAAUCGACGGGUUUCACUGGUCCAUGUUUAGUCGAGGCCCCUCCUAAUAUUGCCUUUAGGAGGACUAUCGUUGGCGCAAGAUUGACAACUUGGAAUAAGUUAUGUGCUAACUUGGCUUCUUUGCAUUCCAAUGACCAACCCAAUGCGUUUUGGGUCUUACUACAUGGGUUGGCUCGCCAUGAAAUCCUUAUGUAAGACAUUAAUCAUUUUGAAUUGCCAAUUUCACCAUAAUGUCAUUUGGAAGCUUAAAUGUUCAUGCUAAGAUAAAAAAUAUAUUUGCCUGGUAUCUUUAUAGAGGGGUGGUGACAAUGUGAUCGAACCCUAAACCCUCAUCCUAUGGGAAUGGUAGUUUCCCUCAUUUCGUUUAUGAUGUCUCCGAAAAUCACUACUUGCCCUGUAAAUUUUGUAAAAAAAACACAUAAAUAUUUUCUGUCUAUACAUAAAUCACAAAUGGACACAUGACAAAUCAUGUAAAUUAUAAACGUCUUUUGUACAAUAACUCGUCUUGUGAUUUCCACAAGGCUUCCAAAUGAUCAUAUUCAUGGCAAAAGUUACAUAUAGGCACAAUUUUACCAAUGCCUAAUGCAAUAUCAAAAGACCACAUUUCCACAGAAAACGUUAAAAAAACAACGAGAAAACAUGUGCUUGGCUUCGGCGUGACCUUGUGUUUUCCUGAACGCUGACCAUGAGAAACUCUGAACACCUUAUCAUUCAACUCCAUGCAUGAUUACAACAACAACGUGAAGCUGUGAACCCAAGAAAAGAAAAAUCAAACAAACGCCAGGAAAGGUAAACCCAGCUCCCAACUUUCAGACAAACUAAAGCCGGCUGCACCAAACAUUCUAUCCAUCACACACGCACACACACGGCCCCUACAGCAAAAAGCUCUGAACCCACAGCACAGCAGCGAGAGAUAGAGUUUAAUGAGGCGCUGAGCACGCAUGCACGGGCACGGACGGACGGGCAUGCAUUGCAAAGUCAGUCAGGCAGGCUGCAAGAACAGUUUUAAGGCAGGGAAGAGGGAGAGAGCAUCGAGCACCGCGCCGAUCGUAAAAGAAGGAAAAACAAAGGCGCAGGAGCGUGAAAUGCAGUAAAAAAGGGGUCGGAUCAUCGGAGCCCGCCGUGUAAUCGCAAUCGAACGCCGUGGUACGAAGAGAUUCCGGGGCGCUUUCUUAUCAGGAAAACCGAUGGAUUCGCGGGCAACGGGCAUGCAUUGCUGCAGCGUGGUGUCAUUUCUCUGGUGCGUGGGAGUGCACGUGAGAGUACUGGUAUUUUCUUAGAAAAAGAGAAAAUAUCAAGUGUAUAUAUACAAGAUGGGAUGGCAGAGAGACACAGCUGAGUAACAUAAUGAGAGGCCGGCCGUAUAUAUGAAGAGAAGCUAGUGAAAAAAAUUGGAGGGAAAAGCCGGACCGCUAUACUCUCCUUCUGGCACGACAGCUUCUUUGCUUUCGAGACAUCUUUUCACUUUCCGCUCCUACAGUGCCAAUGCAGUGGCAGUCGUAGUACACUUUGGAUUGUUGCUGUGCUGGCAUGCAAACAUAGAACACGCGCAAGUACGCACUACUCAUCAGAGGUUUUAAAAUUUUCCUGAGUUUGCAGGGUAUCCCAUGCCACUAUAGCAGCAGCAGAGAUGGAGGGAUCAUGAUAUUGAUCAAGACGUGGAACUGAGCACGCAUUUACUCUUUUUUUCUUGACCACAUCACAUCAGAUCAGCUCAUUGGCCAUGUCAAGCUAGAGAGUAGAAGAAAAAGGGCAAGAAAAGCAGGAGGGGUUGUUGCCUUGUUCCCAUCUCAUCUCAUCCCAUCUCCCCUGGGUACCUACGUGCAUGCAUCUAGUAGGACAUAAAACCCUAUGGUUCCCCUGUCAGAAGACAGGGACAAGUCCAUGUCCAUGUCCUCCUGGUGGAGAAGAAAACACGAGAAACACAUCCAAGAAGAAUAAUCAAAGGACAAACACCGCUAGCUUUAGCUUAGCUUAGUAGUGGUACUAACUUUGAUGGUGCCUAUUUGGCCCCUAGGGCUUAGGUUAGGAGAGUGAUGAGUGCUAGUAGCUACGAGGACACAUGAUGAUCCUCUCCACUCCUAUAGUCCUAUCUUUGUGUGCAAGAGCCUCUCAUCAGGGAUGCAUGGCAUCUGUGCAUGCAUGUGAACCCUUCCACGGCAAAGAAGGACAAGGGGCAGUUGCCACUAACCCCAUUCCAGCCAAUCAAGAGAAAGUCCAUUUAACCAUCAUCUGAUCGGAGCGGCAAUAAAACGAAAACAAAAUCAUACGCCAUCCGUUCAGAAAAGUAUGUCUCAAAUUUGAUUUGUCAAAAUUUGAAUGUAUUGAGACACCAUUUAGUGUAUAUAUACAACUAAAUUUAGAUAAAUUUGCGAUAUCUUUUUUUUGACAGAGGAAUACACGACCCCAUGAACGUUCAUAAAACGGCAUGCAGAAAAAGCAAUUAAAUCACAGGCCAAGGACCAAAAAACAAAUUUCUUCAAGCUGUGUUGGCCGUGCCUGUGGGAAAAAAUCAGAAAGAUUUUGUGAUCCUCGAUCGUGUUCCAUAAUUAUGAUGCAGCAUGGCAGCAGCGAUUCGCACACCCAUAGCAUCACAGAUCUUUGCUAGUACUUGGAUAAAACCGUACACAUACAAAAGAAAGAAAUGAAAUGAAAAAUGGAGACAGAUCGAGGAGGACCACGCGAGGAAUUGCUCUCCGAUCCUCUCUUUCAUCCCCAAGUCUCAGAAGGAUGUUUUCUCAUUAAGUUAUUGCUCACUCAGUAGCUGGCCCUGGCGCCGAGAAGAGAUCAUCAGCUCAGCUCCGUCCGUGCCAGCCCCAGGGACAAGUGUAGCCAGCGAUUGUUGCAGGUUUUGCAGCAGAGGGUAGUAGUACUGGUUGCGUGGCUGUGGGCCCGUGGGUGGGCCAAUGGUUACCAAGAAAUACAGUGCUCCUUUCGUUUUUAAAAUAUAAAACGUUGUAGUUUUAUUCUAGGUAAAAAAAAGUGUGAUGGUUUAUAGAAAAAUAUACUAACAUCAAUAAAUUUAAAAUGGUUUUAUUACAUUUUUCAUUGUAUGCUCCAUCCGAUAUUAGUUCCUUGAACUAAAACCACGACAAGAAUUUACGAUCGAAGUGAGUUUCUUAAUAUUUUUAUCGGAUAUUAUAUAUUUUACUAUAUUUUUUCUAUAAAUUUGCAAUGAACACAUAUUACUUACGCCAAAUUAAGUUAGAGCAUCUUGUAUUUAGGAGCGGAGGUAAUAAUUUUUUUGUGAGCAUAGUGUUGUACUGUUUUGCAUUAAUCACGUGAUUAGAAACGAUUUAAUCAAAUUAGGUUCCGUUAAAUGGCUUAUCGUCCUGUUGAUGAUUUAUUUCCUUUGGGCUAUGGCGCCGCUACUUGACUACUUAAUUCGAGUGUUGUUUUGCACCGAUCGUAUGGUUAGCAACAUAGGUUUAUUUAUUACUAGCUCCUUGAAAUAUUUUGUUCUAUUAUAUCUUUGACCAUUGGCUAACAUGGGUUGUCUCGUGCUAUGCUAUUGCGCUAUUUGAUUGAUUUCGUUGUGUCAAUAGCAACAUUUUUUGGACAAAAAAAUGCAUUCUUAUUGAAAUCCUCUUGUCUAUCAAUCGGCUGCGGUUCAGGUCAAAUUAAGAUACAAUGACCGGAGAAACAUGAGAGUGUAGUGGAAGGAAGCAAGAAGUUGAGCAAUGUUGAUUUACUCCCUUUGUUUCACAGUGUAAGAUGUUCUAACUCUGUCCUAAGUCAAAAUUUUAAAGUUUGACUAAGUUUUUAGACAAAUGUACCAACAUCUACAAAUCUCAGUUCGGUAUAUAAAAUUUGUUAUGAUAUAUUUCUUCAUAGUAUACUUAUUAGAUGUAUAGAUACUAGAUAUUUUCCAUAUUCUGAAGCACGGAGUAGUUCCAUCAACUACCGACUUGUUUUUUUGUGUCUUUUUUUCAACUCUUGGAACUUUAAAAUAAUUUUGGUAUUCUAUUUUCGGAGGCAGAGGUCGAAGGGGUAAAUCUCUUUCAUUAUCUUAGAAGACACAUGGCCGACCCCAUACGCAUGAUCUUGGCCUAACAUGAUACAAGUUGCCAUGAACAUGACUCGACGACUUAUCGAUCUUGCAUACUUUGUGAAUUUUUAUCUGCUCAAGGCACCAUUGAUUCCAAUAGAACACAUGAUCACAAAACAAGCUCAAGAAGCAUGCAACGGGAACACAAUAUAUUAAAAGAUAACCUCCUCGACUUAUUUCCCCAAAUACGUGCCCAGGUGAUUCUGGUGACACUUACAUGCAUAGAAGAAAUCAUUUAAACUUUGAAUGGUUUAUAGUGACAAGUUAUCAAAGUGAUUGAAAAUUAGUUCUGAAACAGAAAAAUCAUUUAAACUUGAAUAAUAUCCUUAUAAAUAUGCAAGAUUGACAAAAAUGUAAUCAAAGAAAAACAAGAGAUAGGGAAUAGGUUUCUUUUCUAUCAUUUUAAAAGUUAAGCAACUUUUAGUGGGUUUUCCGGAGUUCAAAGAACAAUUUUGAGUUUUAAAAAUAAUCAUAUUUAUCAAUAUUUUUAUUUUACAAAUAUUUCUUAAUAUCUUGGAUAAUAAAAUCUAGGUCUUCAAUUUCUUUGCUGAUUUUUCACUUUACUAUAUGUUUGUGUGGCUGAAACCACAUUCUAUAUGCACGUUCUUAGUGAAAUGGCAUUAAAAACCGCCCCUCGGGCUAUUAAUCUGGCCAUUACUUUGACAAAUAUUUGAUAUUUUUGUUAUUGAAGGGUAAAUUUUGUAUGAAUAGUUUAAUUUUCUCUCUAGCAAUGUUUGUGGGGUUACAUAUACCUUUAUUACGACAUAGAUCUGGCUUUAGUGAUUGAUGAAAGAACAUAUAAUAGAUCGACACAACCAAAACGAACAUAAACCACGAAAAUCCUUGAUAAAAUCAAAAGCUCCAUUAUGGUCAUUCAAAGUCAACGUAUCUGGAUUCACCUUUCGAAUCUUGAGGUUUCAUCAUUUAUUCGGUGACAAAAUUGUAUAAUACCAAGCCCGCGCAAGAUGGACUAAAUUCAUAAGUUUUUUAAAGGUCGCAUGAGUUGCCACCUCAGAAAGUGAAACUUAAGAUCGUUGGACGCGUCAUGGUCAAGGACACGCCGCUCGCAAGACAAGAUAUGAAACCGCUCCUACAUCGUUGAAUUGACAAGAAAAAAAUACGAAAAGAGAUCCGUAAGAACCACUGACUCCAUGGAGUAGGCCGUGACACCUACACCAGGCAAGGGCGGGACACAUUCACCAUCCUCAAGAACACACACACCUAACAAGAAAGGUAUGAAAAACUAGACUCCUGAUAUUGAUCCAUGGUUCCCCCCAAUCUCCCAACGCCAGUUCAGCCAUCAGAGACAAGGAAAACCGCCGGAAAUCAAACGAAGACCCAAAGAAAAACUUCCGAGGUCAGCAAGGAAUCUGAUGGGCCAGUUCCAUAUGACCCAUGUCAUGGUAGAUAUGGUCCAAGCCCACUGACUUUUCGUCUAAAAAGAAAUACUUACGAUGGAUGGCUUGUCAGAAAUUACACUAGAUCGAGAUGUAGGAGUACAUCGGUUGACUUGUUCUGCAGAUGGACGGGAAUCCUAACCCCCAACCGAUUCGAAUCUAGAGAAGGACGAGGGAGCGUUGGGUGCUGUAUGUGAUCCAAAGCAGCCCCGGGAGAAAAUUCCUUCUUCUAAAAAUAUAUACUCGUACAAGAAAUUGAUUACAGAAUACACUGUUAACUCUCUACAGUUUAUGUCCAACUCCUCCAGAAUUCAGUUUCACUACUCUGCUAAUAUAUUAAAAUUUACUUACGAAGUAUUACUAGAUAAUGAAUUGGCAAUCCAUUCCAGAAAUUACUCAAUCAGCAGGAGAGCAUUUAGCAGCACUUUUUCAGAAAGCCACACAAACUGAAGCAGUAGUCUCAUCAGAAAUCAGAACGAUCAUGUUUCUUCUGCCCUUGAUAAUUUACACGUACGGUACAUUCGGACUCUCGUACACUUUCCCGGUAAAAUUAACACAGCACAUCAUGCUGCAUUGCACGCACGCAUGCAGCUGAUCAUCGACAAGUCGACGGCAAUUGCGAUGAAGAGCUCACAGGCUGGGCGUCCUCUCGGCAGCUCCGGAGAUGACGGUGAGCAGGUUGUUGCCGAAGGGGUCGCUGAGGUGCGCAGAGAGGUUCUCAACGGGGCCCUCGCCAGUGACGUAUGCCUGGAUGAAGAAACCCAGCAUGGAGAACAUGGCUAGCCGGCCGUUCUUGAUCUCCUUCACCUUGAGCAGCGCCGCCUGGUCGGGGUCGCUGGCGAGGCCGAGCGGGUCGAAUGGGCCACCGGGGUGGAGCUUGUCCUCAAGAUCCUGCCGGAGAAAUUGAUGAAAACCGUUGGUCAGUACAAAGUUCCUAAUUGCAGCUCAACUUAUGUAUAUGUUUGAGGUGUUACUGUCACUGACAAGGCCGUUGAUGAUCCUGUAGUACUCGGCGCCUCCGACGAGGACAACCUCGGCGACGACGGCGAGGAUGAGGUUGAUGGGGAUGCUGUUGCCGAAGUAGUUGAGGGUGUUGCCGUCCAGGAGAAGAGCGCCGGUCUGCAUAUGUGUUUGUUCAUGGCACCGUGAGUUUAAACUUCAGAGUUCUGAAUCUGAAUCUGAAUGUGUGAAUACUGAUGAGCAAUUAC